CAGAUUCUAGCUCAGCGGCAUAAGCGCCUGCCUUGCAAGCAGGCAGUUGUGAGUUCAAUCCUCGGUACUGA
rnacentral:tRNA from 1 species